GCUCGAUCCAGAUCGUGCACACGCCCCGCCGCCUAAUAUUUUUCUUUCUCCCACACCGAUCCUCCAUCCAUGUCCAUCCAUUUCCCAUAGCAGCCGCCGCCCCGUGUUACUCGCUCCCGAGCGCCUCCGCGUCGCUCCUACCAUCCAGCGCCGGCGUCGCCGGGUGAAGCUCGAUCCCGAGCUGCGCGUCCCCCUCUGAACCGCUCGUUGGUCAUCGGAGCCCACCGCCAUGGCAGCCCAGGAAGCUCCAGUUCAGCCGCCAUCUACGGUGGAGCCAAGCUCGACCCAGAACGCCGCCACCCUGCCGGAGCUCCCCGCCACCGGAUCUGCGCCGCCCCUCCUCGGAUCUGUCCAUCCAUGCCGCUACGAGCCCCGUCUGCCAUCGCGUCCUUCACAUGCCUCCUGCACCGCCGCGGAGGAGCAGCGCCUCGUCCAGUUCGUCCGUUAUCAAGACUUUGGAGUGAUGUAUGCAUCAGGUGCGAUUUGUUUUUUGUACUGCUAGAAUAGUGUGGGUGGUAGUUGUUCCCAGAACCCACUAACAUACCGGGCACUAUGCAUCUACUGUACCAUGUAGAUUGAUUCACUGUAAGUGUGGGAUUUACAACCUUCACUGAUUAUAAUUAACAAGGACAAACACCAAUUAUAGUUCUAUUCCCUGAUGUAGUACUAUAGUUUGUUUUGCGUUAUUGGAAAUUUGUGAUACGAAUGUGAGGUUGGGGAAAAUGAGUGGCAAUAAUAUCAGGUUUCUUUUUCUGGACCAGGUGUUUUGUUCCUUGUUUCCUUAUUUUGUGGCAAUGUUUAGCCUGGUAACUUAUACGAUGUUUAGCCUUGCAGAUUCUAGUGUGUCAGCAUGAUAUGUGUUCAACUUCGCAUCACUUUUUGCUUAGCAAAAUCUGUAUGAUUUUGUUUGUAAUGUGUUAGCCUGUUUCGCUCUUUUUUCAGCAUGGUAUCUAAACUGUUUAUCUUGACAAUUCAUAUUUUUUAACUCGAAUUUGUUUCCACUCAGCUUGAGCCCGAUAACUUAUACGAUGUUAGUCUGGUAGCUUUCUACUGUAUCAGCAUAAUAACACUCACUUUGAUAGCAUGUUUUAACUCAUUUUAUUUUUCAGCAUGGUAAUUCAAUUGUUUUUACCUGAUAAUUCAUAUGUUAUUUGGCCUGAUAAUUAUACCAUGAGUGGUAGUUUAACUUGAUCUGCUUCGAACACUUUAACUUUACGUUCAACCUGAUAACUUAUGCAACUUGAUGCUGAUAAAUUAUAAUAUGUCAGCACGAUAGGUCGUGAUGUAUCAGAAUGGUUAACUCGGACUGCUUUUUUCAGCAAUCAUAUUUUUACUUCAUCUUGAUGACUUAUGCAGCUUGAGCCUGAUAACUUAUAAUAUACUAUGUAUCCCCCUGAUAAGUUCAAGUAUGUGGGCAUGAUAACAACCAAUUUUGUUAGCUUGGUUAAUUCUUUUUUUUCAGAAUGGUACCCUAAACAAUUUCUACAUGAUAAUUCAUACUUUUUAGCCUGAUAAUUCAUACAUUUUUGUCCUGAUAAUUAUACUGUGUGUAGCAAUUUAACUUGUUCCGCUUUCAACACUUAUUUUUUUUACUUUCAACAUGAUAACUUAUGUAACUUGAGACUGAUAAGUUAUAAUAUGUCAGCCUGAUAAGUUGUGAUGUGUCCGAAUGAUUAACUUGAACUACUUUUCAACACUCAUGUCUUUACUUCCACUUUCACUUUUAUUUCCCUAUUUAACUCAUUUUGUUUUUUAGUGUGGCAACUCCAAUUUUGUUUUCACCUGAUAAUUCAUAUUGAUUUAGCUUGAUAAAUUACAUUAUGUCAGCAUGUAUAAUUCUAACCGCUUUCAACACUUAUAAUUUUACCUCAACCAAAUAACUUAUGUGACUUGAGCCUGAUAAAUACAAAAUGUCGGCGUGAUAACUUGUGAUGUGUUACAAUGUUUAACUCGGACUGCUUUCAACACUCAUGUUUUACUUCAUCUUGAUGACAUAGGCAGCUAGAGCCUGAUAACUUCAAGUAUUUCAGCAUGACAACAACCAUUUUUUGUUAGCUUGGUUAAUUGAAUCUAUUUUUUCGGCAUGGUAUACUACCUGAUAAUUCAUAUUGCUUUAGCCUGAUAAAUUAUACUGUGUGUAUUGUUUAAUUUGAUUUUGCUUUCAACACUUUAUUUUUACAUUCAACAUGAGAGCUUUAUGCAACUUGAUAACUUAUAUAGUGCCAGAAUGUUUAACUCACACUCUUUUAGCUUGUUCAACUCAUUCUUUUUUUCCAGCAUGGUAACCUAAAUUGGUUCUAGCUGAUAAUUCAUACUGCUUUGGCCUCAUAACUCACACUGCUUCGCCUUGAUAACUUAUAGUAUGUCAGCAUGCUUAACUCUACCCUUGUGAUUUUGUGGUGACAUGCAUAUGUGAUCAUAUCUCUAGGUUUAGGAAGAAUUUUACAUAGUUAGCAGAUUGAUUAUGCUAAAUUCUCACCAUGGCAUGAUGCAGGUUACCCAGCUUGCUAGGUAGUAGCAAAAACACUACAGUAGUGAUGUAGUUACGUGGGUGGUUGCGAUAAUAUCUAGUAUUCGAAUUGAUAGUUGUCCAUGAGUAGUUCAAACAACCGAUGUAAUGUUGCCAGUAAAAAAACAUAUGAACAAUAUGGGUAACUCGGGUAACUCUUUACAGAAUCAAGUGAUAACAUUCGACCUAUAAAAGUCAUUGAAACGUUGCCAAAAACUUCCUGUUUAAUUUGAUGCCUGAUAAGUCUGGUGUGAAUAGAUUGAUAGCUUAUGCAUAUGCAUGGUAACUUUUGACCCCAAAAAAAUCAUUGGAACAUACCAACAUGGGAUCUAGUUUCGAAGAUCUCGUCGUGACAAAAAAUUUAUGUGAAAACAAUUUUUCAAUCGGAUCAACGGUUUAAACUGAGGGCAGGCCUGGCGCAGUGGUGAAGUCCUCCCCACUUGUGCCAAGAGGUCCUGGGUUCGAACCAGCCUCUCUGCAUUGCACUUUGCAGGGGUAAGACUAGGUUCCUAUAAUCCCUCCCCAGACCCCACCUUGUGUGGGAGCUUCUAUGCACUGGGUCUGUCCUUUUUUAUCAACGGUUUAAACUACAAAACAUUUUCAAAUUUGAAUUUCAGAGAAAUCUUGGUUGACGUCAGCAAUUUUUGUCUUGUUUAGAACUAGUACUGGUGAGCCACCGUAUGCAUGCAAACUUGCACUGGAAAUGGGAUCGCAUGCAUGCAUGCUGGGGGCAAUCGUUCGGUACAGUCAGACGUUAGUUGUGCGGAUCUAUUGCUAACAGUCCUUUAUUGUAUGCAGUCUGUGAGGUACAGGUACAGGAAACCAGCCCGAUGUAAUUAAUUCACUCCACCAUCACCUACCUGUGCAGUCCCCUACUUGCACGCAAGCACUCCAUAUCCAGAUCUGAAAAACUAUUCUCCUCUCGCCGGCUGCUAGUGAUUGACGCACAAACAAAUUCCUCACAGUAGAAGUGGAUUUCAGAUUUGAUAGUAGUCCUUUGAGGCCGCUGAUUAUCAAUAAUCUUGAACUGCUGUCCUUCGGCGGAAGGAGAUGAGCAGUUCAGUAGAUCGGCUGGUGCAGCAACCACCCUGCGUCGAAUCCAUAUAAGAGCCGAUGAGUGCGCUGUCGGGAUAGCUCAGAUGACCGUCAAAGAGGGGCGCCAGCUUUCGAUAGUUGCUGAAGCGGACGAGCUCGAUUCUUCUAAUGGAAGCACUGAGCAGCACGUCUCGACAGUUCUAGAUGCAGAGCAUGGGUCGAAAUCAUGGACUCCAAAUCUUAUUGACGUGGAAAGGGAAAACCGCGGCUGGGUUCGACGGCACCAGUUCAGUACACGUUGGAAGAAGGAUUUGGAGAGACCGACCCCAUGUGUUCAACGAAAUGUGGAGUGUGGUUUUAAAUGGAGAUUCUUGGUAUGGCGUGUGCGGACGUAAGUCGGUAGGAGAGAAAGAAGGUGACGAGGUUAACAACUUCCCAUGCAACGGAAGCGUGAAAUGAUGUCAUGGAAUCUCACAAUUAGCCUGUUGCAAUUCAAGAUCAGAGAAGUGAUAGUAUGUAUCUUUGUAAUGAAUGAAUAAAAAGAAUUCUGCUCAGCGUAUUAUUGUGUCUUUUUGUCACUCGUAGUAGUUAAUCAAAUGGUAUGUUAAUUUGACAAAUGCUUUGCCUGGACAACUAAGCUUUCUUCAACGAAUCGACGUAGGUCGAUGAAAAAUCAUGGAGUACACAGCUUUUUUUCUAAAAGGAGUACACAGCUGUUUCUUCAAAA